rnacentral:rRNA from 1 species
UACAGAGGGUGCUAGCGUUAAUCGGAUUUACUGGGCGUAAAGCGUGCGCAGGCGGUGAUGUAAGACAGAUGUGAAAUCCCCGGGCUCAACCUGGGAACUGCAUUUGUGACUGCAUCGCUGGAGUGCGGCAGAGGGGGAUGGAAUUCCGCGUGUAGCAGUGAAAUGCGUAGAUAUGCGGAGGAACACCGAUGGCGAAGGCAAUCCCCUGGGCCUGCACUGACGCUCAUGCACGAAAGCGUGGGGAGCAAACAGG